rnacentral:rRNA from 1 species
AUUGAACGCUGGCGGCAGGCCUAACACAUGCAAGUCGAGCGGGAGCUGGGAGCUUGCUCCUGGACGCAGCGGCGGACGGGUGAGACAUGCCUAGGAAUCUGCCUGGUAGUGGGGGAUAACGUCCGGAAACGGGCGCUAAUACCGCAUACGUCCUGAGGGCGAAAGUGGGGGAUCUUCGGACCUCACGCCAUCAGAGGAGCCUAGGUCUGAAUAGCUAGUAGGUGGGGUAAAUGCCUACCAAGGCGACGCUGCGUAACUGGUCUGAGAGGAUGAUCAGUCACACUGUAAGUGAGACAGGGUCCAGACUCCUACGGUGGGACGCAGUGGGGAAUAUUGGACGAUGGAGGAAUGCCGGAUCCAGGCAUGCCGCGUGAAUGAUGAUGGUCUUCGGCCUGUAGAGCGCUGUAGGUUGGGAGGUAGGAAAGUACGUUAAUACCUGGCUGUUAUGACGUUACCGGCAGAAUAAGCUCCGGCUAACUUCGUG